rnacentral:rRNA from 1 species
UACGUAGGGGGCUAGCGUUGUCCGGAAUCAUUGGGCGUAAAGAGCGUGUAGGCGGUCCGGUAAGUCCGCUGUGAAAGUCGGGGGCUCAACCCUCGAAUGCCGGUGGAUACUGUCGGGCUAGAGUGCGGAAGAGGCGAGUGGAAUUCCUGGUGUAGCGGUGAAAUGCGCAGAUAUCAGGAAGAACACCGGUGGCGAAGGCGGGUCUCUGGGCCGAUACUGACGCUGAGGAGCGAAAGCGUGGGGAGCGAACAGG